rnacentral:RNase_P_RNA from 1 species
GCGGAAGGCUGGAUGAUCGCGGUCCCUUUAUCGGGGUCGAGGAAAGUCCGGACUCCCAAAAGGAACGGUGCCGGGUAACGCCCGGGCGGGGUAACCCGACGGACAGCGCCACAGAAAUGAAACCGCUUCGGGCUUUCCGGAGUAAGGGUGAAACGGUGGGGUAAGAGCCCACCGCGUCCUUGGCAACAAGGGUGGCACGGCAAGCCCCACCGGGAGCAAUGCCAAAUAGGGACCGCGCGUCGCAAGACAGGGCUUCUUUUGCCCGAGCAGGUCCGGGUUGGCAGCUAUAGCCGUCGCGGCAACGUGACGGUCAGAGGAAUGAUCAUCCAGAGGCAUCACGCCUUGGACAGAAUCCGGCUUACAGGCCUUCCGCGCGU